rnacentral:rRNA from 1 species
CCGCAUGGUGGGUGUUGGAAAGAUUUAUCGGUUUUGGAUGGACUCGCGGCCUAUCAGCUUGUUGGUGAGGUAAUGGCUCACCAAGGCGACGACGGGUAGCCGGCCUGAGAGGGUGACCGGCCACACUGGGACUGAGACACGGCCCAGACUCCUACGGGAGGCAGCAGUGGGGAAUAUUGCACAAUGGGCGAAAGCCUGAUGCAGCGACGCCGCGUGAGGGAUGACGGCCUUCGGGUUGUAAACCUCUUUCAGUAGGGAAGAAGCGAAAGUGACGGUACCUGCAGAAGAAGCACCGGCUAACUACGUGCCAGCAGCCGCGGUAAUACGUAAGGUGCGAGCGUUAUCCGGAAUUAUUGGGCGUAAAGAGCUCGUAGGCGG